CCCUUAGAUGUUCUGGGCCGCACGCGUGCUACACUGAGUGGAUCAGCGGGUCAGGUUGCGCGAAAGUGUUUCCUAAUCUUUAAAUCCGCUCGUGAUGGGGAUUGACGGUUGCAAUUUUCCGUCAUGAACGAGGAAUACCUUGUAAGCGCGGGUCAUCAUCCCGCGCUGAAUACGUCCCCGCCCUUUGUACACACCGCCCGUCGCUCCUACCGAUUGAGUGGUCCGGUGAGGCUUUGGGAUCUGAGCGGAAAGAGCGUUUCGCUGUUUCUGCUCGGAAAACUCAGUCGAACCUUAUCAUUUAGAGGAAGGAGAAGUCGUAACA
rnacentral:rRNA from 1 species